GAUGAAGAACGUAGCGAAAUGCGAUAAGUAAUGUGAAUUGCAGAAUUCAGUGAAUCAUCGAAUCUUUGAACGCACAUUGCGCCCGCCAGUAUUCUGGCGGGCAUGCCUGUUCGAGCGUCAUUUCAACCAUCAAGCCCCCGGCUUGUGUUGGGGACCCUGCGGCUGCCCGCAGGCCCUGAAAACCAGUGGCGGGCUCGCUGUCACUCCGAGCGUAGUAGCAUAUAUCUCGCUCAGGGCGUGCUGCGGGUUCCGGCCGUUAAAAGCCUUUUUUUUACCCAAGGUUGACCUCGGAUCAGGUAGGAAGACCCGCUGAACUUAAGCAUAUCAAUAAGCGGAGGA
rnacentral:misc_RNA from 1 species